rnacentral:ncRNA from 1 species
UUCUUACUGUCCCUAUCUACUAUCUAGCGAAACCACAGCCAAGGGAACGGGCUUGGGAGAAUCAGCGGGGAAAGAAGACCCUGUUGAGCUUGACUCUAGUCUGGCAUUGUAAGGACACACGAGAGGUGUAUCAUAAGUGGAAGAUCGUUUCGCGCGAUCGUCGCUGAAAAACACUACUUUCAUUGUUUCAUUACUUACACGGUUGGGCGGAAGCGGUGCGCGGUCGAUAAUAUCGGCGGGCGCACGGUGUUUCGCUCCAAGCGUGCAGAGUGGUGACGUGGUGGAAACGCUCGUCGCCGUUUAAAACUCCCGCGUGAUCCGGUUCGAGGACACUGCCAGGCGGGGAGUUUGACUGGGGCUGUACAUCUGUCAAAGAAUAACGCAGGUGUCCUAAGGCCAGCUGAGCGAGGACCGAAAACUCGCGUGGAGCAAAAGGGCAAAAGCUGGCUUGAUCCAGAUAUUCAGUACGCAUAAACACGGCCAAUCGAUCCUUUAGUAUAAAGAAUUUUUAGCAAAACUCGCGUCGCACCGUUGAGUGUGCUUCUCACUAUUCCUCGGCUGUAAUGCUUACUUACAGUGGUCGUGCUCGCUUCGACCAGGUAUACGCUUGGUCCGACGCAUCCAUCGUGCUAGCAUUGCUACACUCAUCUCUGCACGAAUGGAAAACCUUCGUUUCGAACCGUGUCAGUGAGAUUUUGCGCCGCGUACCGCUGGCGCCACAUCCCGUCGGCCGAUAAUUCCGCCGACGCUGCGUCUCGUGGCCUGUUGCCCGCCGCGCUCGUACAGCAUGACUUAUGGUACCACGGACCCUCGUGGCUACAUCUUGGUCAGAACUCCUGGCCGAUUCAAACUCCCGUAAGAGACACGUGCGAAGAAAAACGCAAUGUAUCGGUGUGCUCCAGCGCGUCAACGGCACCGCCUAUACAAGAUGUUGAUUUCAUUACGCGAUUUUCGAAAAUUUGUUCGCGUCAAUGCACUAAUCUUUCGGUUUUUCAACAAUUAAUUUUACCUAAAAAACACCCUCUAACUAAUCUUAUUAUUGACGAUGCACACUUAUGUAAUUUACAUGCCGGACCGCGGUCCGUUCGCUACGCGCUUUUACAACGCUAUUGGAUUUGUUAAGCCGUAACAUCGUCCGGCAGCGCAUACAUCGCUGUGUGCAGUGCUUCCGCGCUCGCCCGACGCACAAUCAACCGCGCAUGGGACCGCUCCCUGCAGUGCGUGUUCGCCCCGCGCCACCGUUUGUAAAGAUCGCGGUAGAUUUUUCUGGUCCAUUUUACGUGCACACCAAUAAAGUGCAUAAUGCAAAAAUAAUAAAAUGUUACGUGUCACACGAGUUGUAACUAUUAAAAUGGGAAAUUCCCUUUAUAAACGACCCGAGGUUAAAAUAUGUCCUCUUGCCUUGGAGUAGUUGAAAUCAUUAGGAAUUUAUUAGUUGAUUAAGAUUUUAA